rnacentral:rRNA from 1 species
AGUGAACGCUGGCGGUAGGCCUAACACAUGCAAGUCGAACGGCAGCACAGUAAGAGCUUGCUCUUACGGGUGGCGAGUGGCGGACGGGUGAGGAAUACAUCGGAAUCUACUUUUUCGUGGGGGAUAACGUAGGGAAACUUACGCUAAUACCGCAUACGACCUACGGGUGAAAGCAGGGGAUCUUCGGACCUUGCGCGAUUGAAUGAGCCGAUUUCGGAUUAGCUAGUUGGCGGGGUAAAGGCCCACCAAGGCGACGAUCCGUAGCUGGUCUGAGAGGAUGAUCAGCCAAACUGGAACUGAGACACGGUCCAGACUCCUACGGGAGGCAGCAGUGGGGAAUAUUGGACAAUGGGCGCAAGCCUGAUCCAGCAAUACCGCGUGGGUGAAGAAGGCCUUCGGGUUGUAAAGCCCUUUUGUUGGGAAAGAAAAGCAGAAGGUUAAUACCCCGCUGUUCUGACGGUACCCAAAGAAUAAGCACCGGCUAACUUCGUG